rnacentral:rRNA from 1 species
UACGAGUGCCUCGAGCGUUAUCCGGAAUCAUUGGGCGUAAAGGGUGCGUAGGUUGUCAUAUUAGUCUCUUGUUAAAAACUUUCGGCUUAACCGGAAAUCUGCGAGAGAAACGGUAUGACUAGAGGACGGGAGAGGUGAGCGGAACUCAUAGUGUAGGGGUGAAAUCCGUUGAUAUUAUGGGGAACACCGAAAGCGAAGGCAGCUCACUGGCCCGCUCCUGACGCUGAAGCACGAAAGCGUGGGUCGCGAAUGGG